rnacentral:lncRNA from 1 species
CUAAAGAGCUUCUGCACAGCAAAAGAAACCAUCAUCAGAGUAAACAGACAACCUACAGAAUGGAACAAAUUUUUUGUAAUCUCUCUGUCUGACAAAGGACCUGAUUGUAUAAUGGUAAACACAACCAAUGUUGUUCCUGCUUUCAUAGAGUUUUCAUUUAAGUGGAUAAGACAGACAAACAGAUCAAAGGAUGAAGAGAGGUUUCCAGGUUAGUUAAGAUUUCCUCUGGGACAAAGCACAUUAUUUAUGUUCUCCCUGACCUGAAAGAGCACAUGGAUUUGGUUUAUUCUUUCUUCUCCCACUGACCUCCGAGAAUUCUUUAGAGGUAGGAGUUUGUGGCUGUCAUUUUAAAAUUAUAAAACUUGAAGAGUUUGAUCCAUGAUAAGGACCUAAAAAAUGCACAUGAUUACUUAUUACCAAUGGCAAUUUUCCAGAGGUCAAUGGGUAGGGAGUGACUGUGAGACACUACCAAGAAUUUCAUGUAAUCAAUGCCUCUGGUGUUCAAGCCUUGAGGACUGCUCAUUCUGGAUCCGUGUAUGGCUCCUUAUAAUAACCAGUUGAUGAUUGACCAUGCAUAUGAAGAGAAAGAUGAAAGAUUUCUUAACAAAACCAUUUGGCCUCAACUUCUGGCAGAUGUAUCCACAACAGCCAAUUAUUUGAAUAAAUGUUAAAUGUUAAGAAAUGGGUUUUGGUAACAUGUCAUACUCCAUCUUGGUCAGGCAACUAAAAGUGCAAUUUUGAAUCAUUAGGGCCUUGGCAUUUUUCAUUCCUCCAUUGGAUACGAGUGCUGCAUUUUAAUGGUGGAGAGAACUCCAGGAGAGGAACCAUUGUUAUGAAAUCAAACUGAGACAGACAUCUGUUUGGAAGACUCAGGCUCAUCUCUCAUUUCCCCAAAGCACUUCAUCAAGGUUAAAUAAGAAAACAUUUGGCUUCUACUUUUAUGUCUUGAACUCCUAAAACUAUGUAAUCAUGUUUUUUUGAUAACUCGGGGCCAAGUAUGGAUCAGGUGUGUCUGUGUUACCUGGCCUGGCUGACGGGAAUGAUCAAGUUCAACACUUAAUUGUCAAGUUUCCCUUUGCCUUUGUGCUGUUUAGAUAGAAUUUCAGAGCUUGUAAAGGCCUAGCCAUAAAUAAAACAAGAUUGCAUGUGGGGAUUUGGAAAAUGUAACAUUUACGAAGCCACAGAUGCAGAGCAGAGGGAACGCAGAGUGAAAUAUUUAAUUACUUCAUCACUGAAACUAAUUACCAAUUGGGGAGUGUUUUCAUUUGUGGAACAUAGAUUGAUUAGCAGGAUCACCAGAGUUCCAGUCUCCUUACUACUGAUUGCAUCUUUCAUAGAAGAAAAAUGGGUUAGUUUUAACAAGCUGGAGUCAAACUAGAGACAAGCAGGGUUACCAAAGAGUGAUUGCAUGGGAUUAGUGUUAUUCAAUAGGCAAAGAGGUAUUGAGUUUGGAUUUUUUUUCCUUAUAGACUAUUAGAGAUAAAUUUUACAUUUGGGAUUUACUUUUCCGUAAUAGGUAAGGUUGUAUUUUUCAUUCAGGAAGUUAAUUUGUUUGUUCCACAAAAAGUUUCAAUCAAUGUUAUAUAAUGUUCAGUGACCUGGAACCCUGAGGCUAAGUUUUGUCCCAGAUACUGGACAUAGAUAUAUUGUUUAAAGACCAAAUUUGGAAAAUUAGGACCUCUGUAGCAACUUUUUUUUUUAACACAGAAAUAUUAAAGCUGUGGUCUCAUGAUGGAGCUCCCUGAUCAACAGGAGUCAGGCUCUGAUGGAGCAGAACUUUGUGGGGAGACUUUUCUUGGGGGAGUGGAGGUGCUUUGUUUGGCUUCCAUAUUCCAGGCUUGCUUCUCCUUCUUGGGAUAGCUCUGUGUCAUACAGGUGUCCAGUUACAUCAUUCUUUCUUGCCCUUGCCCUUGUCAAUUCCACUCUAAAAAAAGAUGAAUUUAAGUUGAUGUGUCCCUGGUCUGUUUUUGAGAUAGAAAAUAGUUUCAGGACCCAGCUUGCAGGUGGGCUAUGGCUCCUGAAAUGAUGCUGUGUGGGCAGGCACAUUCUCCUCGUUGGUGUGGAGGUUCUUGCUGUGGGUGACAUUAAGAGGUGGCCUGGCACCUGGCACAGUAGGAAGAAUGCUGGGGCAAGGCAGGGACCUGGGUUCUGGUUCUGGCUUUGCCGCCUACUCUCUGUCCUUGGGUACAUUUGUUGAUCAUUUAUUUCUCAUGGCUUACAUAUGAAGAUCAUAUAAGAUAGGGAAUGGGGAGGGUAUGGAAAGGCCUAAACUUUGUUCAGAUUAAAAUGAUUAUUUUCAUUUCAUUGGCUAUGAAGGUUGAUUAUUUGGAUGCUACAAUAAUAACUUAGAAUAUAGCGUAUCCUGUUCUAAUUUUACUCCAUACUGGAAUUGUGAUUGCUACUUUGAGACAGAGACAAAUUCUGAACCCUAGGCUGUGAAUUUGUGGAGGAAGGAUGACCUUCCUCCGGACCAGUGUACUCUCUUGACGGUUGAGUCUAUGGCAAGACUUUUCCAGAGCAGCCAGUGCCCUCUGAUAUGGUUGAUUGGUCUGGUGUUAAGGACAAAACAGUUUUGAAGCCAUGUGCCUCUCACCGCUCUUGUCUGUGGUGCAGCUCCCUGCUUUCCUGGCCUCGGGAUUUUCCAGAGUGGACAAUGGAUGACCCCAGGCUGGGCCAUGGCUGCCUCAUAAAAGGGAUGAACUGUGUGUGAUAUACGUAGUAGAAACACUAUUGUCUCAAGGAAGGAAUUUAAACCCGAGGGCUUCACACAUUACUUAGGUUAAGACUUUCAGGAUUGACAUAGAAAUUGAUGGGAAUCCAAUUCAGGGGCCCCAGAGGCACAGUUUAGGAGGAGCAGACAGGGUGAGGGGAUAGACUCCCUCUCUACUCCUUCACUUUGCAACUUUUACCCCACAGCAAGGCAAAGAUUUCUGCCUGACAUUAUAGGCCAAUGCUAAAAUCAAAAUAUUUAAAGGAAAUGAAGACACAAAACAAAUGAUAAAAACAAAAAAAUUAGAAAUUAAAGGCCUAAAGAAUCAAGUGAAUA